rnacentral:rRNA from 1 species
UAAUGUCUGGGAAACUGCCUGAUGGAGGGGGAUAACUGCUGGAAAUGGUAGCUAAUACCGCAUAACGUCGCAAGACCAAAGAGGGGGACCUUCGGGCCUCUUGCCAUCGGAUGUGCCCAGAUGGGAUUAGCUAGUAGGUGGGGUAAUGGCUCACCUAGGCGACGAUCCCUAGCUGGUCUGAGAGGAUGACCAGCCACACUGGAACUGAGACACGGUCCAG